UUUGCACUGGUACAACACACAUCCAAUUUGUUUCCCUUUGUACAGGCUGGAAUGGCUCUAAGAGCCUGUUAGCUGCUAACUUGAAAGAAACCCGAAACUAUUACAACAGCUAUGGAUUCCAAGACUAGCAGGCUAUGGCCAGGCAUCGUUUAUUCUGCUCUCUAAGCAGGUACUGGAGAUUUCCAACUGACCUUAAGCUCUGAGCUGACAUAAUACAGCCUGCAGGAAAAUUAAAUGUCUUAAAGGCUCUUGGGAGUUGGAAAGAUGAGGUGUCAUCACAUGAUCUGCAGAACAGUUGGAUUCUGAACAUAAAGAAAAGAAACUGGCUGAACAUACUAAUCACAAAAUGUAGCUUCUGGUUAAUCCAAAGUAUAUUCUCAAGAUGAAAUGCUUCACAAUGUUCAGAAUAUUCAGCCUGGUCAAUAAAUUCCCCUUCUGAAUAUCA
rnacentral:lncRNA from 1 species